ensembl:lncRNA
GAACUUUGCUACUCCUGCUAAGACUUUUUCUGCAGUGCUUCCCGCAUGUGAUCUUACCACCAUCAUCUGUCUUUUUCAGUGGUCUUCAGCCUUUAUUUGAAAAAUGUGAGAGAAAAGUGGAUACCGGAGAUAAUUCACCAUUGUUUGAAGACUCUUCAUUGGAACCAAAAUUGAUCUCAGAAAUGGGAUACCCUCUAUUAUCGAGAAACUUUUCAAAAACAGAAAUGUCUCACUCCUCAGACUGCUGAAAUGCCUCACUCCUCAGACUGCUGAAAUGCCUGUGACCUGAAGGCUGUCAAAUACAUGGAGUGUUUCACACAGAAAAACCUAAAGGAUGCAUUUGACAAAGCACUAUUGACUGCCUCAGAGACUGUGGAACUGAAGAAAAGCCAUAGGCAGAGGUGCCCACUGGGCUUUUGGACACAGCAUUUUCCCAACGUCACUGCCUGGUAUACUCUAUUUGAGGGAAAAUUAUCAACCUGUUAUUGAGUGCUGGUGGACACUGAGAAGCCAACUAAAGCUGUUCCUGGAAGUCUUGCCCUCUUCCUAAAGGAAUAAUUAUGUGCUUUUUCAAAUAUGAACUCUGAAUUAAACUGGUAGCUGAGCCUAGGCACUGAACAUGAGAUGCAGGGGGUGACCCCAAUGCCAGCACUUUCCUGAAGAACACCUAUAGAUGUUGUCCACACUUGUGAAGCUGUUGAACUGAUAAUUAUAGACAAGUAAAACUGGAACUGACUGCCUCAGGCCGUCCUUCUGAAACCAAGGACUGAACUGCAUCAUUUGAACUGGACUGAGAACCCGGAGUGGGAGGUCUUACAGUAUGAGGCCACAUGGGGGCCCUGAUAACCUGUGCUGCCGAACUAAUGUAUGUCUUGCUCGGCAUGCCCCAAUAUUUGUGAACUCCUUGUUUCUCUGGUUACUACGUGCGAUCUCUGGGGUUGUGCUUGUCUCGGUGUCCUAUCACACUCCCUCAGCUCUGGAAGGAUUUCAGGUCAGCUUCAACUUACUGGCUGUGCCUGUAUUGUUGCCUUGCACUAGGGGAAAAAAGGUUAAUUAGAAACUUAGAAACUUAAGGAUGAAGUCAUCUGGCUUUUUUAUGUAGGUCUGUGUAGCUAAUGGGACCUGUUUUAACUGGCUAAGUAAAGGACCCCUAAGGGCGUAACUGAGAUCAGUAUGGUAGAUUGCCCUCACCCUGUUGCAGGAGGUUCUACUGAUAAUUUUACUAUAAAGAUGCCUUGGCCAAGGGCCAAGAGCUGGCAUAUCCUUGGAAAGUCCUGCUUAUGAGGAUAUGUUUUGGGGAGGAUUCCCACCAUUCACAGACUGAUAAGAGUGGCUUAUUGUACAUGAACUGUUUGUAAACCAGUGUGGUUUAUGCUGAAUACCUGCUUUCUUCCUGGGAGUCUGGAAUUUUGAUAUGUGUUAGGCAGAAGGUGCCUACAUGACCAGGUCCCAAUAACAGCC